rnacentral:rRNA from 1 species
AGUUGGUGGAGUGAUUUGUCUGGUUAAUUCCGUUAACGAACGAGACCCCUGCCUGCUAAAUAGUUCCGCGGAUGAGUCUUCAUCGGCGAGAGCUUCUUAGAGGGACGACCGUCUACUAGACGGAGGAAGAGAGGGGCAAUAACAGGU